UCUACCACCCUUUAAUUUAGGAGAAGUUAAACUUUUAGAAUAUACCUGUUAACCCUUUGAAUAAGCAGCUUUAGACAAUCUCAAAGAGUAGUUUUAGGGUUUCCAUUACCUUGGGGGUGCUUAGGGUUUGCAGUAGCUCUUUAUCUUAGAAGCGUUUAGGGUUUCCACUAGCACUUUAUAUUGAAGGCGUUGCGGGUUAAAACAGAAGAUAGGUUUCUGAAAAGUGUAGGGUUUUAGGGAUCAGAAAUUUGUGGCCUUCUUCUGAUGUCUUCGAUCAUGAGUGGUUGCGGUGAUGAUUAUCAGUGUUCAAGCUCAACAGACCGGAUUGCAGCUUUAUUUGGCUGCAUGUCGAUAUUCCCGCUGAACUGAGCAACCACUAAAUCUACUGACUGCUGUGAUGAUACCAAGCUCCCUCUUCUGAUGAAACGUGAAGAGAAUGCUGGCAUGAAUCGAACCUAAUAUACAGCCACUCUGAGCUGAAUUUUCCCUCUUUGUCACUGGGUUUAACAUUUUUAGAUGGUCUAUUUUCAAGAGAAAUGUUUGCUCUACUUGUUAUCGGCUCUAUUUUCGAGAAAAAAUAUUGUCAUCCAAUGUCAUUUUUUCUUAUGAUACAGCGCGGUAUAUGGGAGCCUCAAUAUUUCUGGUUAAUUUUAAACAUAGAUUAAUUCGAAAAUUAAGUUUCAUUUAAA